GUAGUCCACGCCGUAAACGUUGGGAACUAGAUGUGGGGGCCAUUCCACGGCUUCCGUGUCGCAGCUAACGCAUUAAGUUCCCCGCCUGGGGAGUACGGCCGCAAGGCUAAAACUCAAAGGAAUUGACGGGGGCCCGCACAAGCGGCGGAGCAUGCGGAUUAAUUCGAUGCAACGCGAAGAACCUUACCAAGGCUUGACAUAUACGAGAACGCUUCAGAAAUGAAGAACUCUUUGGACACUCGUAUACAGGUGGUGCAUGGUUGUCGUCAGCUCGUGUCGUGAGAUGUUGGGUUAAGUCCCGCAACGAGCGCAACCCUCGUUCUAUGUUGCCAGCACGUAAAGGUGGGAACUCAUAGGAGACUGCCGGGGUCAACUCGGA
rnacentral:rRNA from 1 species